CCAAGUGGGCUAUUUCUCGCACCUUCUUCAGCCGAGUUGCAACAUCUGGGUGCUGGGAAGGGAGGUCAGCGGCUUAGGACUCUACCUAGGAGGUGUCGAGGUGUGUGUGUGUGUGCGCGCGCGCGGCUCUGGGAGGAGAAAUAGGGUGCGUGCGCGAGUGGCCCCGGAUCAGAAGUAAGGGUGUGCGUGAUUGUCGUGGUGGCUGGAUGGAAGAGUGGGCAUCAGGAUUAGGCGGGGAAACGACGAGGAAUCCAUCCUCUCACCACGAAAGGAGUUCGUUGGCAGUGCCGAGACAAUUAAAAAAAAACAAUAGGUGAGGGGGUGGGGGGAAGCCGGGACAGCAACGUCUUCGGUCGCAAGUGGCAGAGACUGCGGCUGCGGAGAGCCGGCGCGCGGCCCUCCAGGGAACGGACAGUGACUGCGGAGGGCUGCCUGUCGAACCGCGGAGACCUUUGUCCUCCUUCGGGGAACUUCUCCGCCCCGUGAGAACGGAAAACAGUGGCCAAAUGUUGCCCUGACCAUACCUUGGUGAAUGCAUGUUGACCAAGCUGUCGUGCUGAUGCCUCGGAUCCUGGAUGGCAGUGGAGCCGAAUGCUUCAUUCUAUGGAAUGCUGUUGAGACCUCCUUGUGCCUUUUUCUCAAAGUAGCCAAACCAGACCUGCUGGAUUUGAGAUACCUUUGUGUGAAUAGAGAACUUUGGAGUUCAAGCUUCAGAGAGUUCCCCAAGUGACUGGCUAGAGAACUAAGAUAAGGGGGCACAGGUUUGAUCCAUGGUUGGUGAACUAAGAUUCCACAUGCUGCAUGGUGCAACUGAAAGAUAAGAAAAUAAUAAUGAAGAUAAUGACAAGAACAUGAAUAUGAGUAUAAUAUAUGUG
ensembl:lncRNA